rnacentral:rRNA from 1 species
UACGGGGGGGGCAAGUGUUCUUCGGAAUUACUGGGCGUAAAGCGCACGUAGGCGGAUUGUUAAGUCGGGGGUGAAAUCCUGGAGCUCAACUCCAGAACUGCCUUCGAUACUGGCGAUCUCGAGUUCGGGAGAGGUGAGUGGAACUGCGAGUGUAGAGGUGAAAUUCGUAGAUAUUCGCAAGAACACCAGUGGCGAAGGCGGCUCACUGGCCCGAUACUGACGCUGAGGUGCGAAAGCGUGGGGAGCAAACAGG